UCUUGGUCAUUUAGAGGAAGUAAAAGUCGUAACAAGGUUUCCGUAGGUGAACCUGCGGAAGGAUCAUUAUUGAGUGAAGGGUCUCCCUCUGUGGAGCCUGAUCUCCCAACCCUUGUGUUCUUCUACCAAUUUGCUUUGGCGGGCCCGUCAGUGUUAUGACCGCUGGAGGGUCUAAGUUAAUCUUAACUUACCUUUAGGCCCGUGUCCGCCAGAGAGAUCUGAAUGCUUGCUAUGAAAAGGCUGUCUGAGUAAUAAAGAAAAUAAGUUAAAACUUUCAACAACGGAUCUCUUGGUUCCGGCAUCGAUGAAGAACGCAGCGAAAUGCGAUAAGUAAUGUGAAUUGCAGAAUUCCGUGAAUCAUUGAAUCUUUGAACGCACAUUGCGCCCUCUGGUAUUCCGGAGGGCAUGCCUGUCCGAGCGUCAUUAUUAUCCUUCAAGCCCGGCUUGUGUGUUGGGCCUCCCGUCUCGUAGAUGGUGGCCUGAAAGGCAGUGGCGGCGUCGCGUCCCGGUCCUUAAGCGUAUGGGGCUUUGUCACCCGCUUGGAGGCCGGCCGACCCCGUAGCCCACAGUGGAUUUCCACAUUCUUUUGAUGGACCUCGGAUCAGGUAGGGAUACCCGCUGAACUUAAGCAUAUCAAUAAGCGGAGGAAAUCG
rnacentral:rRNA from 1 species